AGUGAUGGCCGCUUCUUCUUUGCCUUGUCGCCGCUUUAUCGUUUUUUGUUUUUUUGCAGCCGCUGUGCCACCGCCCGCCUAGCUUAAAAACAAACUACUCCGCCGACAUUGCAAUGCCGU
rnacentral:rRNA from 1 species